GAUGAACGCUGGCGGCGUGCUUAACACAUGCAAGUCGAACGGUGAAGCAGGAGCUUGCUCUUGUGGAUCAGUGGCGAACGGGUGAGUAACACGUGAGCAACCUGCCCCUGACUCUGGGAUAAGCGCUGGAAACGGCGUCUAAUACUGGAUAUGUUAUGUGACCGCAUGGUCGGCAUCUGGUAAGAAUUUCGGUUGGGGAUGGGCUCGCGGCCUAUCAGCUUGUUGGUGAGGUAAUGGCUCACCAAGGCGUCGACGGGUAGCCGGCCUGAGAGGGUGACCGGCCACACUGGGACUGAGACACGGCCCAGACUCCUACGGGAGGCAGCAGUGGGGAAUAUUGCACAAUGGGCGGAAGCCUGAUGCAGCAACGCCGCGUGAGGGAUGACGGCCUUCGGGUUGUAAACCUCUUUUAGCAGGGAAGAAGCGAAAAUGACGGUACCUGCAGAAAAAGCACCGGCUAACCACGUGCCAGCCGCCGCCGUAA
rnacentral:rRNA from 1 species